UAGCAUCUCAACCGUAAGGCUAACUACAAGAGAGUUUAGCUCCAACCCCAGUUAAGCAGACCUGGGCAGCGGAUCAAGGAUCACCAGAAACUCUGCAGAACAUUGGUCCUCCAGCCCAGGACUGGACACCAGUGUUGUCAAAGACAGCUACAAUGAAGCCACAAACGCAGUUCAUAGUUCCUGUAUUUCUAUAAUGCAUUAAUGAAUAAC
ensembl:lncRNA